GAUGAACGCUGGCGGCGUGCCUAAUACAUGCAAGUCGAGCGAACAGACGAGGAGCUUGCUCCUCUGACGUUAGCGGCGGACGGGUGAGUAACACGUGGAUAACCUACCUAUAAGACUGGGAUAACUUCGGGAAACCGGAGCUAAUACCGGAUAAUAUAUUGAACCGCAUGGUUCAAUAGUGAAAGACGGUUUUGCUGUCACUUAUAGCUGGAUCCGCGCCUCAUUAGCUAGUUGGUAAGGUAACGGCUUACCAAGGCGACGAUGCGUAGCAGACCUGAGAGGGUGAUCGGGCACACUGGAACUGAGACACGGUCCAGACUCCGACGGAGGGCUACAGUAGGGAAACUUCCGAAAAGGGCGAAAGCCUGAAGGAGCAGCGCCGCGUGGGUGAUGAAGGGCUUCGGAUCGUAAAACUCUGUUAUUAGGGAAGAACAAAUGAGUAAGUAACAAUUCACGUCUUGACGGUACCUGAUCAGAAAGCCACGGCUAGGUACGUG
rnacentral:rRNA from 1 species